GUGCCAGCCGCCGCGGUAAAACCAGCACCUCAAGUGGUCAGGAGGAUUAUUGGGCCUAAAGCAUCCGUAGCCUGCUUUGUAAGUUUUCGGUUAAAUCCAUAUGCUCAACAUAUGGGCUGCCGGGAAUACUGCAUAGCUAGGGAGUGGGAGAGGUAGACGGUACUCCAUAGGAAGGGGUAAAAUCCUUUGAUCUAUGGAAGACCACCUGUGGCGAAGGCGGUCUACCAGAACACGUUCGACGGUGAGGGAUGAAAGCUGGGGGAGCAAACCGGAUUAGAUACCCGGGUAGUCCCAGCUGUAAACUAUGCAAACUCGGUGAUGCAUUGGCUUGUGGCCAGUGCAGUGCCGCAGGGAAGCCGUUAAGUUUGCCGCCUGGGAAGUACGUACGCAAGUAUGAAACUUAAAGGAAUUGGCGGGGGAGCACCACAAGGGGUGAAGCCUGCGGUUCAAUUGGAGUCAACGCCAGAAAUCUUACCUGGGGAGACAGCAGAAUGAAGGUCAAGCUGAAGACUUUACCAGACAAGCUGAGAGGUGGUGCAUGGCCGUCGUCAGCUCGUGCCGUGAGAUGUCCUGUUAAGUCAGGUAACGAGCGAGAUCCCUGCUGCUAGUUGCUACCAUUACUCUCCGGAGUAGUGGGGCGAAUUAGCGGGACCGCCGCAGUUAAUGUGGAGGAAGGAAGGGGCCACGGCAGGUCAGUAUGCCCCGAAACUCUAGGGCCACACGCGGGCUGCAGUGGUAGCAACAAUGGGUCCCGAAUCCGAAAGGAUGAGGUAAUCCUCAAAUGCUACCUCAGUUAUGACUGAGGGCUGUAACUCGCCCUCACGAAUAUGGAAUCCCUAGUAACUGCGUGUCAUUACCGCGCGGUGAAUACGUCCCUGCUCCU
rnacentral:rRNA from 1 species